rnacentral:sRNA from 1 species
GCGGAGGAAAAGAAACCAACAGGGAUUGCCCUAGUAACGGCGAGUGAAGCGGCAACAGCUCAAAUUUGAAAUCUGGCGUCUUCGGCGUCCGAGUUGUAAUUUGCAGAGGGCGCUUUGGCAUUGGCAGCGGUCCAAGUUCCUUGGAACAGGACGUCACAGAGGGUGAGAAUCCCGUACGUGGUCGCUAGCCUUUACCGUGUAAAGCCCCUUCGACGAGUCGAGUUGUUUGGGAAUGCAGCUCUAAAUGGGAGGUAAAUUUCUUCUAAAGCUAAAUACUGGCCAGAGACCGAUAGCGCACAAGUAGAGUGAUCGAAAGAUGAAAAGCACUUUGGAAAGAGAGUUAAAAAGCACGUGAAAUUGUUGAAAGGGAAGCGCUUGCAGCCAGACUUGCCUGUAGUUGCUCAUCCGGGUUUCUACCCGGUGCACUCUUCUAUAGGCAGGCCAGCAUCAGUUUGGGCGGUUGGAUAAAGGUCUCUGUCAUGUACCUCCUCUCGGGGAGAACUUAUAGGGGAGACGACAUGCAACCAGCCCGGACUGAGGUCCGCGCAUCUGCUAGGAUGCUGGCGUAAUGGCUGUAAGCGGCCCGUCUUGAAACACGGACCAAGGAGUCUAACAUCUAUGCGAGUGUUUGGGUGUCAAGCCCGAACGCGUAAUGAAAGUGAACGGAGGUGGGAACCUUUCGGGGUGCACCAUCGACCGAUCCUGAUGUCUUCGGAUGGAUUUGAGUAAGAGCAUAGCUGUUGGGACCCGAAAGAUGGUGAACUAUGCUUGAAUAGGGUGAAGCCAGAGGAAACUCUGGUGGAGGCUCGCAGCGGUUCUGACGUGCAAAUCGAUCGUCAAAUUUGGGCAUAGGGGCGAAAGACUAAUCGAACUAUCUAGUAGCUGGUUCCU